rnacentral:rRNA from 1 species
AUGGCGGGCACAAAAGCAGCAGUGAUGAAGCUGGCGGUCGUCCUCCUGGCCAUGAGCCAGCUCGUCCACAUGGCGACGCCAACGGCCGAUCCAACGACUGCAUCGUCUCUGCUGGUUACCAGCGUUUCCCCUUCUGGGGGAGUCAUUUCUAAACCCAGCCAUGGCAUCAGGGAAGAGAAGGUGCUGCUCGAUGCGGCCAAGCCCAGCAUCCCUGUUCCGCCUCCUCCCCACCUCAUCCUACCAUGCAAGGGAAGAGGGUGCUAA